AGUCUUUUUUUUUUGUAUAAAUUUUACAUAAUUAUCCAGAAGGAUAUAUUUAUUUUUAAUCUUUUAUAUGUUACAUAUUUCCAUAUUGCUACAUAAUUUUUAUAGCAAUCUUCUAUAAUAAGAAUUUCUAGUUUUUGUCCUUUCAGAAGAAUUGUGGGAGCCAAUGGAGUCACUUACUGAGAGUGAAUACUUUCUAACUUGCUUAUUUAGCCCAGUCAAUGAUUCACUAUACAUAUUACAAUAGGAGUAACCAUUGUGCUCAUUUGUUCUCAGGCAUGUGGGACUCAUCCUGUAUUGGGGCUGAAUAAAUUUAAAAUUAAGAUUAUCAAAAUCAACCUAGCAUCUUCUUAAAGAGUGAAAGGCUAGGACCUGGAGACACAUGAUUGUAAUCCUAGCUACUCUGAAGGCUGAAGCAGGAGAAUAGCAGGUUUAAGCAGCCUGGGCUAUACAGUAAGGUUUAAAGUUAACCUAGAAUCCAAAAAUAGAGGCACUCUUCUGUAAUCCCAACACUCUUUAGUACAGUUGGGAGAAUUGCUCCAAGUUUGAGGCCACACAGGGCAAUGUAGCAAAAGCCCCGUCUCAGAAAAUAAAAUGUGUAAAACAAGACAAAAGAAAAAGAAGUCAGCCUGUGCAAUUUAGCCUUGUCUAUGAAUAAAAAUACCAAGUGGGUAACCCUGAAAUUAAGUACAUUCAGGAAAUACUAUGUGGACUCAGCAGAUUGUGUUUAUAUGUUUAUGUGCAUAUACAUGUAAUAGUAACAAAAGAGACCUUGAAUUUUAGAAGAAAUGUCCGGGUGGGGUAUGGGAGAGAGGUGGAAAAUUACAUUAUUGUAUUUUAAUUUUUAAAAAAUUUUGAGUAACGAGCUAGACGGUGAGGUGGUUCAUGGGUAAAGGAGCUUGCCACGAAGCGUGACAAUCUUGAGUGUCAUCUCUUGAGACCUACAUGCUGAAAGGAGAGACAAUGAUUCCCAAAAGUUGAUCUCUGAGCCUGACGAUAGAGAUGCAAACCUUUACUCCCAGCACUGAGGAGGCAGAGGCAAGUGCAUCUCUGAGGUCGAGGCCAGCCUGGUCUACUCUGCACAGUGAGUUCCAGGACAGCCAGGGCUACAUAGAAAAACCUGUUUCAAAACAAAACC
rnacentral:lncRNA from 1 species